rnacentral:ncRNA from 1 species
AUUAAAUCGCCUGAGUAAGAGGAGUAAGCUUUUUUGAAGCACUAAAGAGAGCCGGUGGCGGUGAGAUACCGGUACGUGGAUCAUUGCUGAAUGGACUUACAAGAGGUUUCCUGAAUAACAGUACGGAAACCCGGUGCUCCGCCGUUAUACGGAUAGGAUAUGGGAUUUGAAAUUUUCCCGUAUUCGAAUAAGGAUGGAGAUGUCUAAUCGUCUCCAAUAGAGGUGGCACCGCGGUCACAAUCGUCCUCUGC